GGAAGUUAAACACAACUUGAGGGCAAUGGGUGGGACAGCCAAGGGGCAGAGAAGUGGGUAACUCUGAGAGUGACUGUGGGCUCCGUCCGGCAGACCUGCUGGAUGCUCGGCCUGUGGGAGUAGUUUUGGCCCUGAUAAAGAUGUAAAACUCUCAGCUACCUCUCCAGCACCUGUUUGCCUGCAUGCCACCCAUCAUGAAGAUAAUGGACUGAAUCUCUGAACUGUCUCAUGCUGUCCAGGUUGGCCUCAAGCUCCUCAUAUAGCCUAGACUAGCCUUCAUCUUCCGACCCUCCUGACCCAAUCUCACAAAUGCUGAGAUUUUAGGCAUGUACCACCAUUGCCUGCCAGCCAAACUGCAUUAAAAACCAUUUGGAAUAGAGAUUAACAUCACCGACCGAACAGUGAAGAUGCACUGGACAUUUCACUCUUGUCUUCCCUUCCUCAAAAUGGAGUCUUACAGGGAGACUCAUUCUCCCAAUUUAAUGACAAGAAAAUGAAAACUUGGAGCCUUUAAGGAUCUCACCUGGAAAAUUACAAGCAAUCAACCAGAAAGUUGCAGGGCUGGUUGGAAGCACAGAGUGUUCUAUGGUGUCCAAAUUACUCUGCCUUGGGUGUGUGGUUUUAUUUUUACAUCCUGUAAAUGGAUUUUUUUUUUUUUUUGGUUUUUCGAGACAGGGUUUCUCUGUGGGUUUUGGAGGCUAUCCUGGAACUAGCUCUUAUAGACCAGGCUGGUCUUGAACUCACAGAGAUCCGCCUGCCUCUGCCUCCUGAGUGCUGGGAUUAAAGGCAUGUGCCACCAACACCCGGCUUUUUUUUGGGGGGGGGUAAAUGGAUUUCUUAAUUGGUCUAAAUAUUAAAAACUCAGAGUCAGAUAUACAGGAAAGUGUUGAGAGAUCAGAGAGAAGGAACAAGCCAUGGCCACACCUUACCUCCUUAGCAUUUCAGCAGACAAGAGAGAGUUCCUGUUUCUCCCUGCUUAUAUCCUGUUUCUGCCCAGCUAUCUCACUUCCUGUCUGUCUAUACAGACUUUCAGAGCUCUAUGGUGAGCUAGUGGCAAGCUCCAUUCUCUGACCCCCAGACAGGCUUUAUGUGUACAAGCAAGAUAUCAUCACAACAUCCAAUUAUUUCAUCUCACAAACAAAUGUCAAAUGUCUGCUUGGCACUGGGUACUCAAAUACAUUCUGAGUUUUCAAUGUUAAACAAAAAUAGACCCAUAGAAAUUAUAGGCUAGUUAGGAGAACAAACAAAAUCAUAUCUGAGAGUGUCAAGAGGGUACAUGCUUUGCACGAAUGAGGCCUUGGGUUCAACUCCCGGCAACAAAGAACAAACAAGUACAAAAUCACAAUUGAAAUGUGACAAAUGCAAUAAAGGAAAGGCACAUGUUAUCAUGCAAACAUGCAGUGCUUGGUAUUUUGUAUUUCUUUAUUACUCUAUAUUUGCUUUACAUCUUUAUGUCUGCCUAGCAUGCAUUGAGUUCAGUCCCCAGUACCAUAUAAAAGUAGAUUUGGUGACCCAUGUCUGAUUUCAGCACUUGAGGUGUAGAGGCAUAAGGAUGGGAAUUUAAAAAAAAUAUAUAGAUGGCCCAGCAGUUAAAAGCACCAGCUGCUCUUCCAGCAGAGCUGGGUUUGACUUCCAGCACCCACAUGGUGGCUCACAACUGUCUAUAGCUCCAGUUUCAGAGGAUUCGAUGCACUCUUCUGGCUUUUACAGGUACCAGGCAUGCACUUAGCACACAGACAUACAUGCAGGCAAAACAUGACAAUGGUGUCACCUUGUGCACCUAAUUCAAUAACAGGCAUACAGUCAUUAUUUAAUAAUUGUUGAAUCAACCAAUUUAUUUAUAUUUGUUGAGUGCCUAUUCAAUGCUUGACACCAUUCAGAGUGCGGGAAAAAUAAGAUAUUCCUUUUUGUAAGACUCUUCUAAGUUGGUCAAGUGAAACUUCUGAGUUGGAGGUCCUCAGAUAUCAGGAACAAGCAAAGCUGGAGUCCUGUGGAGAAGUCUGAUCUGCCAGGUGUCUGCAGUCAGACUGAGGGCAGGAAUGUGGUUUGCGGGUCUGGGGAACUUUUCUGAUAUCUCAAGAUUUGGAUAUGUGGUCAGCUGCCAAUCUGUAUAAUAGUUACUGACUUCUCACCUUUAUAACUGCUGGAUAGUUUAUGUCAACUUGGCACAAGCUAACGCCAUCUGAGAGAAGGGAACCUCAAUUAACAAAAUGCUUCCAUAAGACGGGGCUGUAGGCAAGCCCGUAGGGAAUUUUCUUAAUUCAUGGUUGAUGGGAGAGGGCCCAGUCCAUUGUGGGUGGUGCCUUCCCUGGGCUGGUGGUUCUGGGUUCUAUAAGAAAGCAGGCUGAGCCUGGUGGUGGUGGCUCAUGCCUUUAAUCCCAGCACUUGGGAGGCAGAGGCAGUCGGAUCUCUGUGAGUUUGAGAACCAGCCUGGUCUCAAACAAGAGCUAGUUCCAGGACAGGCUCCAAAGCCACAGAGAAACCCUGUCUUGAAAAACCAAAAAGAAACCCUAAAACAAACAAACAAACAAAGGAGGCUGAGCAAGCCAUGAGGAGCAAGCCAAUAAGCAGCACCCAUCAAUGGCCUCUGCAUUAGCUCCUGCCUCUAGGUUCUUGCCCUGCUUGAGUUCCUGCCCUGACUUCCUUUACAAUGAUGACCACUGUGUGGAAAUGUGAGCCAAAUAAACUCUUUCCUCCCCAACUUGCUUUGGCCAUGGUGUCUCAUCACAGCAAUAGUAACACGAAGACAAUAAUAAAAAUGCUUUGCUCUUAGUAGAGUUCUUAAUGGAAUCAUUAAAUAUUAACCUGAAAGGAGUUAUCAUGUCUA
ensembl:lncRNA